rnacentral:rRNA from 1 species
GACGAACGCUGGCGGCGUGCUUAACACAUGCAAGUCGAACGGAAAGGCCCUGCUUGCAGGGUGCUCGAGUGGCGAACGGUUGAGUAACACGUGGGUGAUCUGCCCCUUACUUUGGGAUAAGCCUGGGAAACUGGGUCUAAUACUGGAUAGGACCAUGCUGUAGGUGGUGUGGUGGAAAGAUUAGUUUCGGUAAGGGAUGAGCUCGCGGCCUAUCAGCUUGUUGGUGGGGUAAUGGCCUACCAAGGCGUCGACGGGUAGCCGGCCUGAGAGGGUGGACGGCCACAUUGGGACUGAGAUACGGCCCAGACUCCUACGGGAGGCAGCAGUGGGGAAUAUUGCACAAUGGGCGCAAGCCUGAUGCAGCGACGCCGCGUGGGGGAUGACGGCCUUCGGGUUGUAAACUCCUUUCAGCCAUGACGAAGCCCUUGUGGUGACGGUAGUGGUAGAAGAAGCACCGGCUAACUACGUG